rnacentral:sRNA from 1 species
CGGGCGUGGUGGCGUGCGCCUAUAGUUCCACCUACUCAGGAGGCUGAGGCAGGAGGAUCACUUGAGCCCAGGAGGUCAAGUCUACAGUCAGCCGUGAUUGCACCACUCCAUUCCAGCUUAGGCGACAGAGCAAGACCGUCUCAAAAAAACAAAAACAAAAGAAAUGAGAGCGAGGUGGGGCUAAGCACUGCUUAGAGUCUGGGAUCCGGUUCAUUGGGAGAAGCCCUGGGGAGUGAAAGUGUGGACUGCUGUAUUCCUCUGUUCUCCCCUAAGAUUGGACCCAAAGAUAGU